rnacentral:rRNA from 15 species
GCAGCGAAAUGCGAUACGUAAUGUGAAUUGCAGAAUUCCGUGAAUCAUCAAAUCCCUGAACGCACAUGGCACUACCUUCUGGGUAGUAUGCCUGUCUGAGCGU